CACGAAACUAUGUGAGCUAAUUUUGAUGAGCCGUCAUGUCGCAUAAUGACGAGAUGAAAGAAAAUUAGGGGUGAUAGGCUUUACAAACAUAGUGAUAUCUUGAUUUUCUUAAAAUGUAUAAGUACACUCACAUAUUUAAAGCUACAAGGUUUUAAAUCGUAAUUAAAUUUGAUUUAUAAUCGGUAAGAUAUAAAAAUCUAUACACUUAUUUACAUAAUAUACAAAUCAUAGUGAUUGUUUAUUUUAGAGAAAUGUAUAAUAAUUUUAAUAAUAUUAAUAAUGUCACUAUAAGUAUUUAGGAGGUGUUAAUAGUGAACUCGGCAAUAAGUUUUCAACUGUUUACCAAAAACAUAGCUGCGUGUAAGUACACGCAGUAUUUUCUGCUCAAUGAAUAUUAAAUAGCCGCAGUACCUUGACUGUGCAAAGGUAGCGUAAUCAUUUGUCUUUUAAUUGGAGUCACGUAUGAACGAAUAUAUGGGGACUUUCUUUACCAUUAACAACAAGAGAAAUUGCUUAAUGAGUGAAAAUUCUCAUAACUAAACAAUAGACGAGAAGACCCUAGAAAUUUAUGUUAACUUUUUGUUGGGGCAACAUAGUAACAAUUAACUUACUAUAUAUAUAUGAAAUUGAUUUGAUAAAUUAAAUUACUCUAGGGAUAACAGCAUAAUAUUGAAAUGUUUGUGACCUCGAUGUUGGAUUAGGGAGUUAUAGUUUAGAA
rnacentral:rRNA from 1 species